rnacentral:lncRNA from 1 species
AGCGUGGGAGCCGAGGCCACGUUCCCGCAGCUGUGAGGGCAGCUCGCUUGUAGCAGCCCUGGGAGCACGUGGUAGGGAAGGGGAGCCAGGGCCAGCACUGACAAGGGAGAAUCGCGGCGCCAAGGUCCCUUUGCGCACAGCCCAAAUUCGAAGGACGCGUUUCCCUGGGAACGUCCCUGGAGGACGGGGAAUCUGUAUGCCAUUACCAGCCAUUGAACCACCCCUGCUCUCGGUGCCUGUUUCCAGCAGGCUCACCCCAGAAACGCAAGGUGCUUAAGACGGGUUCGCGGCGCAUGGGGCUGCCGACCACCUGACGGCGGGCACCAGCUCCGCAGAUGCGCAUUCAUCCAACUGCAGGCGCUGCACUCAAAGGCGUGUAGGCCCUGAGCCUGUAUAACUUCCUCUGGACCCACGCAAUUCCCUUGGAGAGCGCCAGGCACGACCCUGCUGUGGCUUCUAACUACAAGGCUUCCCUCAGGUGGACAGGCCCACCCCUCAGGGAGACUAGGAUAAGAGGACACCACACACCCGGACAUCAGCGGAGCAUGUCCAGCACCCAGCACACAAAGGCCUCCUGCAUCUCAGAAACUCAGAGAAGCAGCCGCCUCACACCACCCCCGGCCCCUCCCGUCCCUCAGCUGCAACCACCUGCCCACUUUUUCUGCCUCCCGUCUCUGGUCAGCCCAGGCCGUCUUGGCCGGGGUCCACCCACUCCAAAAACCACCACAGUUGUGGCGUUGCCUCCUCGCCAGACAGAGAUAGAGGGCCAACAAUGAAGGGUGACUGGCCAAAUGUCUGGGAGAUGGCCCUGUUCCACAUUGUCUGUGUUCUUGCGAAAUUGCAAGGCGUCACGAGGCUUGCCCACCCAAUCCUCUGGAGAGUUCUUGCGCAGAGGUAGAUUGUUUGGCACACGAGAUGUCGGCGUGGGUCGGAAAGCAUGCGGAAGUCCUGCUUUGCUACGUGAUGGAUUUGCAGGUGGAGGAACUCAGCCAUCCCGGUUACCGGUGGCAGGAUGAUUUCCUUUCAUCCCAACCUUUAUUUCCACAGUGAAAUCAUCAUGAAGGAGCACUGUGUUGGCAUCCUCGGCUACAGGGUGUCUCAUUCCACUGCAGUCCAGCGGUUCUGGGAUCACGAAGGUCAAGCCUCCAGCUGCAGGCAGUACACCUCCUACCUGAGCUCAUUCAGCUGUUUGGCUGAACAUGACUGCCCGGGUUUUGGCAGGAUUGCUGAGAUAUGGGAGUUAGCCUGUGAGCAUGUUUUCGAAUACGGA